rnacentral:rRNA from 1 species
AUUGAACGCUGGCGGCAGGCCUAACACAUGCAAGUCGAGCGGAUGAAGGGAGCUUGCUCCUGGAUUCAGCGGCGGACGGGUGAGUAAUGCCUAGGAAUCUGCCUGGUAGUGGGGGAUAACGUCCGGAAACGGGCGCUGAUCCCGCAUACGUCCUGAGGGAGAAAGUGGGGGAGCUUCGGACCUCACGCUAUGAGAUGAGCCUAGGUCGGAUUAGCUAGUUGGUGGGGUAGAGGCCUACCAAGGCGACGAUCCGUAACUGGGCUGAGAGGAUGGCCAGUCACAUGGGUACUGAGACACGGUCCAGACACCUACGGUAGGCAGCAGUGGGGAAUAUUAGGCGAUGGGCCAAAGCCUGAUCCUGCCAUGCCGCGUGUGUGAAGAAGUACUUCGGAUUGGAAAGCACUUUAAGUUGGGAGGAAGGGCAGUAAGUUAAUACCUUGCUGUUUUGACGUUACCAACAGAAUAAGCACCGGCUAACUUCGUG